rnacentral:rRNA from 1 species
UGAGACUGUGCGCUGUGUGUUUGUGUUUCUUGCACACACACUCGCCAGUACCUCACCCCACACUUUGUGAACCGUUUCCUGUCUCUGGCGGGCAGUCUGCUCGGCGCGUUGGGAGCUUUUGCUUUCCAACUCACUUGGGUGGACCUGGUUUCGUUUGGGAAGAGGAGCUCCCCUCCUCUCUCUUGAACGUUUUAGCCAAACCCGCCAGGGGGUUUUUCGGAACCCCCAACAGUUUGUUAACUCUAUACUUUUAAACCAUCUCUGUCUGAUUUACAUCACAAACCUAAAAUGUGAAUAAACAACUUUUGACAACGGAUCUCUUGGCUCUCGCAACGAUGAAGAACGCAGCGAAAUGCGAUACGUAAUGUGAAUUGCAGAAUUCCGUGAAUCAUCGAAUCUUUGAACGCAAAUUGCGACCUUCUGGUAUUCCAGGAGGUAUGCCUGUUUGAGAAUCGUGACCCUCUCACUCUCUCACGAGAGUGGAUUUGAGUCUUGUCCCAAAACGACUCUGCUUGAAAGAGCACGAGUUUGAGGUUGGGUGACUUUAAAUUCAGGUGGGCCUUUGGAAAAGCAGCGAAAGCACUUUCUGUUUUCGGUGAAAAGGCGUGAUAAAACGUUUUCAGAAACUUUGUUGUUUCAGAAAGCAACUAUAUCCUCGCUUCAAGUAACCAAAUUCAGAUCUUGGGUGCUCUUGCAAAACAAUGCGUUUCCAUUCUAGAAGGCUUGCACAACGAAACAGGAAAUGAAGCCCCUCUCCUGGGGCUUUGUGUACUGAAUCUCAAAUCAGCA